AAAGUCCUCAUAGGUAAAGGCAUAGCCAGCCAACCAUACUGAGUGUUGCGUGAUUGGGAAGGAGAGACACAAAGUCGAACGACCCAGACGAAGCGUACACAAGGAAUUCUGUGGGCCGUAAGGAAGUUCGCACCUUCCUGAAGCAAUUCAGCCUCGUAACUGCAUAUACAGGUGGCGACGACGUUAGGAAAGCGGAAGCCAAUACAAAGGGAUCGAAAGCGCAUCGUUGCAGAGCAUAAGUUGGCAUUGAGCGCAAGGCGAGAUCCCUGAAGGCCUGUCGGGGUCAGAGAGCA
rfam:Candidatus Jettenia caeni DNA, contig: KST1_D.